UUGUAAAGGAAAAAAACAUGGCAACAAACAGACCACGGGCGCUCGUCUUCUCUCCCCCUCGCCCACGAACUCCUCGCCGCCACCGCCACCCACGCGGACACUUCCGGCGACCUCCGAUGCCGCGCAGCACGCCCCCGAGCUCCCCAUGGUCCGCGCCUGCCUCCCCUCCGGCCAGAUUCUCCGCUCCCGUCCUCUACCGCCCGCUCGCAACCCCACCCCCGUGGCUAGGGUUUCGGGCAGGGCUUCGCCGGCGCGUCUCCGGCGGCCCCAGUUAUUUGGCUCAUCGUCGUGUCGCAAGUUUCUGACGUUGCUGUACACCGCGGAUUUCGCCGGAAAUCCAUCUGCACGUACUCCACCGUCUGCCGGAACUUCGUCUGACCUGAGAUUUAUUUUCGUAGCAACGCACGAGUAAUUUACUAGAGCGAGCGGCGUCGUGGUGAUCUCGCUGGCAAGCGAUGCGAGGAGGACGGCGAGCUGAGCCGAAGGAGGGCGAGGCAUCCACAAGCAGGAGGCUCCCUGGUGAAUCGGGGAGACAGCGCGAGGCAUCUCCGACGGCGUGGGCCGGGCCGCCGGGUGCCGUGCUUCCUUAGAUUCGCGUUUCAGCCAUGCAUCCAGUUUGUUGCUUCCCUUGAUGUCGACGGCACUAUGAUCAGCUGUGUUCUCUUCCUCCAUGUACUAAGCCACGACGAGAUGGUGGAGAGGCGAACCUCAAAUGCGCAACAUCUGAUCUUGCUUGCUGAGCUGCUAUUCCUGGUAUACAACCCUUAAACACAAGCAUGUCUUUAUUUAUUUGUUUAUCUUGCUUUGCUUCAAUGGAAGAAAUAAAAAAAGGGCAACCUGGUGCAUAUAGCUCCCGCUUGCGCAGGGUCCAGGGAAGGGUCCGACCACUUUGGGUCUAUAGUACGCAGCCUUUCCCUACAUUUCUGUAAGAGGCUGUUUCCAGGACUUGAACCCAUGACCUCAUGGUCACAAGGCAGCAGCUUUACCACUGCGCCAAGGCUCCCCUUCAAUGGAAGAAAUAAAAAUAAGAAACAAUUUUUAUGGUGGAGUCCUCCCCACUUGUGCCAAGAGGUCCUGGGUAUCUCUGCAUUGCAAUUUGCAGGGGUAAGACUAGGUUCCUAUAAUCCCUCCCCAGACCCCACCUUGUGUGGGAGCUUCUAUGCACUGGGUCUGUCCUUUUUAAUUUUUGUGGUGGAUCUCUUGGAAAAUUUGGAACAAUAUUUGAUCUGGGGACAACAACUAUGAAAACAAUUGAUCUUGGAUUUGAGUUUCUUUUAAUCUUUAAAUGAUGUAUGGGGCCAGCAAAUUCAGUUAUUUGGUUUUGUAAGUUUGAUAUUUCUGAAACUUGUUAGGAUUUAGGGUGCAUAUAUCAGGAUAUGUGCAUCACGCUCAAUGGUGAGACGAGAACCUGAUCCGAUCACAUAUUUCUUUUGUUUCUCUGGCAUGUUCAAAUAUAGAAAACAUGUAGCUUAGUCGAUACUAAAUGUUUGGCACCAGAGUUUUUUCGCAGUAAUCAGAUAUUUUUUUACCGAAGACCUUCUUAUCUUACUGCAUGUAUCACUUAAUAUUAACACUUCAACAUCACUCGUGGCUAUUGGAUAGCCAUGGUAUGUGUUAGUUUUAAUUUACCACAGAAGUUCGAUUCUUGGGAGACAGGAUAGGUGCAUACAUUACUUUUCUUAUGAAUCGUUUCUCUUUUUGUGCACUAUCUAUCUAUGAAAACUUUCAAAGAAAUUGACGGCGGCGGCUCGGCGGCGGUGUGGCGAAUGACGAAGCAUCUAAAAUGGACGGAAGAGAGGUGGUAAGGCGCGGCUGGGAGACGUACAUAUUUGAGGAAAUAUGAUUCAUAAGGUUUCAUAUUAACAAAAAUUGAUAGUCUUUGUAAAGUAAUUCGAACAUUUUGUUGAUUCUGGGACAACUUUAUUCUCCAAUAUGAAUCUGUAAGAAAAGAUAUGGUUGAUGGUGGUCC